rnacentral:rRNA from 1 species
AUUCCUUGUCGGGUAAGUUCCGACCUGCACGAAUGGCGUAACGACUUCCCCGCUGUCUCCAACAUCGACUCAGCGAAAUUGAAUUGCCUGUCAAGAUGCAGGCUUCCCGCGGUUAGACGGAAAGACCCCGUGCACCUUUACUACAGCUUCGCACUGGCAUCAGGAUUGUGAUGUGCAGGAUAGGUGGUAGGCUUUGAAGCAGGAACGCCAGUUUCUGUGGAGCCUCCCUUGAGAUACCACCCUUCGCACUCUUGAUGUCUAACCGCGGUCCGUUAUCCGGAUCCGGGACCCUGUGUGGCGGGUAGUUUGACUGGGGCGGUCGCCUCCUAAAGCGUAACGGAGGCGCGCGAAGGUUGGCUCAGAGCGGUCGGAAAUCGCUCGUUGAGUGCAAUGGCAGAAGCCAGCCUGACUGCAAGACUGACAAGUCGAGCAGAG